ACGCUCGACACCUACGGGCAGCAGUGGGGAAUAUUGCACAAUGGGGGAAACCCUGAUGCAGCGACGCCGCGUGGAGGAAGAAGGUCUUCGGAUUGUAAACUCCUGUUGUUGGGGAAAAAGAGGAUGGUACCCAACAAGGAAGUGACGGCUAACUACGUGCCGGCAGCCGCGGUAAUCUGAGCGGGCUGGCAAGGC
rnacentral:rRNA from 1 species